AAUACUUAGAUUUUUCCAAGAUAGGACAGACACUGUAUGUUCUGUCCUCAGGAGUGCCCAAUCAAUUUUUCUCUCAUUAAAUGGGGAUUUGGACUAUACAGCCUCUGUUGUCAUCUUUAAAUUCUAUAACCUUUUUAGGAAGAAACAUCCUUAGAAAUCAUCUACGUCUUACCCUGUCAAGGGGAGGGGCUAUAACUUGUUUCUUUGUGACUAACUUGCAUAUGGUAGGAAACCAAGGGCCACAAUAGAUAAGCAACUCACAUAAGGGGCCAAACAUAGAGCUAAAACCCAGAUUAUUUUAUUCCCAAAUCCAGUGUUCUUUACAUUCUGUAAUUCUAAGGUUCUCAUCUGGGCUUCUGAAAACCUUUUUUGAAACUAAAGAAAAUUCUGAUUUCAUCCUAUGUCCCUGACACCUUCAAAAAGGCUCCUUAACACAAGGUGGGACCACCAAGCCAUUUCUAAAGCUGCUUCUGGUGGUGCCUUCUUCCCCCCACGGACAAGAUACACAACCUAGCUCCAGAGAUAAGGCUAGGGAGAAGUUCUGCCUAAUAAAGAAAUUUCAUGGAUCUUUAAGGAAAGAUUAAAUCAAGUCUUUCUUCCUACCAAGGUAGAAAUACACUUCAAAGAACAAACAAGUGAGAAGGAGUGAAGAGUGAAAUUCCAAAAUCACUCUAGUUUAUUUACAUAAUAUAGUAUUUGAUUGCAUUCUUUUGUACUGUUCCCUACUUUUAUAAUGUGUAAAAUGUUUCACCAUGUUCCAAUUAAUGGUUGAGCUUUAAAUGAAAAUGUUCUGGAUCUUUCAUUUACUGGUAUCAACCACAAUGUCAAGACCCCCAAGAAAUACUUGAUCUAAACUGGGAGAGUCCAACACAAUUUUUUUUUUAAUGGAUUUGCCACCUUAAGAAACUUCAAGUGUAUCUUUUUGUUGGCAAGAAAAUUAUUUCCCAGGAGGUAAUCAGAUUUCCCUCCCCGCCCCUGCUCUUUCCACCAACCCUCCUCCUAACAUACACAUAGAGAGUUACACAUUUCAUGAAACUGUUUUGAGGCCAAGUUCACAGCAAGCAGAGUCUUAACAUUUUCAGAAAUGAUCUGUCCUUCAUAUCUGCAUAAGCUAGGAUCCUUGGCAAUGGGGAAAAGGUGCCAUUUGCUUCUCUGAAGUAACUUGGGGUCUGAAUUGGUUAAGAAGCCAAAGAGAAAAGGAAAGCAUUUCCUUGUCUUCCCUAUUAAUGGUUUGUUGCAAAGGGAUAAACUUCUCAAGAACCAAAGGUGAGGAAAUGUGUUGGUCAUCACUGGAUUCUUGCUGGAAACAGAAGGCAGGUGAAAUCUUCAGGAAUCACUUCACACUCCAAAAACACUAUUCUCAGCAAUGAUAAUAGGCUAAUCACACCACUGAUCAAAUUAUUUCAGCUCAGUUCUUUAUUUUGCAGUUAGAGAGCAAAUGAAAUUAGAAACUGCUUUGGCACAGGUUAAAGGUGGCUCCCAUGUACUCACUAGUUUUCCUCAGGAUUAUCAAUACUCCUUACCAAAAUGUACUUUUACUUAGUUACCAUUUAAAGUUGCCACCAAUGUAAAUGACAGGGGGUAGGGGUGGGUGUGGGUGUGGGGAACCUGAGCAUACACAUAAUUUUUAAAUCUUUUAGAUGUAAUGCAAUCAACCAUAUCUAAUAUUCUUUCAGAAAACAGAAGAAACACAAAACAUGCUCAAAGAUCAAGAAAUCAAGUUAUGCUUUUCAUAAGGCACCACCAAUUACCCUGAUAAAUUGUAAAUAAAUAUGUAAGGGAAUAAUCAAUAGGGAGUCUUGAGGUUUACAAGACAUUCCUGUUUAGACCACUUGGAGUACUGCAAAAGAAAAAACAAGCAAGAUACAGUUUGAAUAACCCAUCAUAUCCUUGCCCAGUGCACAUCAUUUGUUGCAUAGUGGUGACUGGAUAUGAUCCAGGACAAGAGAAGACCAAAAUUCAAAACAAUACAUUAACAUCCAUUCUUCCUCAUACUACAGUAUGAGAUACCACUUGGGACAUUCAUAUCCAAAGAAGUAAUGGUAUGAUUUUUUAAAAAAGGAAUUUCAAAAGGAGUAUUUAAGGACCUGCUAUAAAAGCACCUUCUACACACACGAAGCUAAUCCACAUGUGAAACUUUAUCAAAUCUGGUUAUAUGUGGGACUUCAACAGCUCAAAUUUUUCCACCAUUUACACUUUUCAAAUCCCACUCCAAACUGUCACUUUCUCCCUCAAAAAGUGGAUUAUCCCAUCCUUUGAAAGAGAGGCUUUCUCAGUUUUUCUUUUCAUUCUCCUACUGUAAGUGCUGGUUGAUAUUCACACAAAUGUACUACAGAAUUAAAAUACUGACAAGCAAGUAGUUUCUUUACAUGCACUGAAUUGCAUCCAGAAUCCAAAAAUUAAGCAGCACAAAAAGACAUUUUUUGGACACCUACUAACGACAAAAGUAGAGAAGAACAGAAGUAAAGCACAGGUAAAAUCAUGCUAAUCUUACAGGUCAGCCUUUGUCCUUUCUUUAAAAAAAAAAAAA
ensembl:lncRNA